GAAGAAAGAAAGCUGUUCCACACACUUUAAGUCGAAGAGGAUAUGCUCGAACAAUUGAUGAUAUGAAGAAAGAAAAUGAGGAUGGUAAAAUAUCUAGAGUCGAUGCUUUUCGGAGAGCCCAUACCAAGAAGAAUGGUGAACCUGUAAACCUAACGGCAUCUGAUAUUUUUGGUUCAUUGAAUGAGAUUCUCGUUGAAGACCCAAAAUCUGGAACUACAGACAACGCUGAUGAGGAUGCCUUGACAAAAUUGUUUGGUAACCCAAAAUCUGGUCGUUUAAUCGGAC